rnacentral:sRNA from 1 species
GCCGCGAGAGGCCGGCGAAAGCUAUCUUCCUGCACCGGCGGCCGGGUGAGGGCGGUGGGAGGGCGCGGUGCCUGCGCUGUGGCCAUGUCUGUGUACGCAGGGGGCCGGGGCCCCGCGAAGCUGUGCCCUCAGGCCGGCCCCGGCCGGACACCCUUACCCCUCCAUGGGUCCGGCAGAGGGCAGUGACCGGCACCUUCUGUGCGUCCUGGACCCCUCUGAGAAACAGGAUUGGUACCUGGAAUGGAUCCCCUCUUGGGUGAACUGUAUGUUGCCUGACAAGUGAGGAUCCUUCAGCCUGCCAUUGAAGGACCCUAGAGGCCAAAUAAGCCUUGCUACCAGCCUCGGAGAGCUCAAAGGAUGGCUACUGACAUGCAGAGGAAGAGAAGCAGCGAAUGCCUUGAUGGCACAUUGACUCCUUCUGAUGGACAGAGUAUGGAGAGAGCUGAGAGCCCCACACCAGGAAUGGCCCAGGGAAUGGAGCCAGGUGCGGGGCAGGAGGGUGCCAUGUUCGUCCAUGCCCGUUCCUACGAGGACCUGACUGAGUCAGAGGAUGGGGCAGCUUCUGGGGACAGCCACAAGGAGGGUACCAGGGGUCCCCCGCCGCUGCCUACAGACAUGCGCCAGAUCAGCCAGGACUUUAGCGAGCUAAGCACCCAGCUGACGGGUGUGGCCCGGGACCUGCAGGAGGAGAUGCUGCCAGGAAGCUCUGAGGAUUGGCUGGAACCCCCAGGGGCAGUUGGGCGACCAGCCACAGAGCCCCCCAGGGAGGGCACAACCGAGGGGGAUGAGGAGGAUGCCACGGAGGCAUGGCGCCUGCACCAGAAGCAUGUCUUUGUGCUGAGUGAGGCAGGGAAGCCUGUGUACUCCCGCUAUGG